CCGCUUUCAGUAGGGAAGAAGCGAAAGUGACGGUACCUACAAAAGAAGCACCGGCUAACUAUGUGCCAGCAGCCGCGGUAAUACAUAGGGUGCAAGCGUUGUCCGGAAUUAUUGGGCGUAAAGAGCUCGUAGGUCGUUUGCCACGUCGGAUGUGAAAACCUGAGGCUCAACCUCAGGCCUGCAUUCGAUACNAGCAAACUAGAGUUUGGUAGGGGAGACUGGAAUUCCUGGUGUAGCGGUGGAAUGCGCAGAUAUCAGGAGGAACACCAACGGCGAAGGCAGGUCUCUGGGCCAAUACUGACACUGAGGAGCGAAAGUCUGGGGAGCGAACAGGAUUAGAUACCCUGGUAGUCCA
rnacentral:rRNA from 1 species